rnacentral:rRNA from 1 species
AUUGAACGCUGGCGGCAGGCUUAACACAUGCAAGUCGAGCGGGGGAGGUUGCUUCGGUAACUGACCUAGCGGCGGACGGGUGAGUAAUGCUUAGGAAUCUGCCUAUUAGUGGGGGACAACAUUCCGAAAGGGAUGCUAAUACCGCAUACGCCCUACGGGGGAAAGCAGGGGAUCUUCGGACCUUGCGCUAAUAGAUGAGCCUAAGUCGGAUUAGCUAGUUGGUGGGGUAAAGGCCUACCGAGGCGACGAUCUGUAGCGGGUCUGAGAGGAUGAUCCGCCACACUGGGACGGAGACACGGCCCAGACUCCUACGGGAGGCAGCAGUGGGGAAUAUUGGACAAUGGGCGGAAGCCUGAUCCAGCCAUGCCGCGUGUGUGAAGAAGGCCUUUUGGUUGUAAAGCACUUUAAGCGAGGAGGAGGCUCUUAAGGUUAAUACCCUUGAUGAGUGGACGUUACUCGCAGAAUAAGCACCGGCUAACUCUGUGCCAGCAGCCGCGGUAACAC